GAUGAACGCUGGCGGCGUGCCUAAUACAUGCAAGUCGAGCGAACAGACGAGGAGCUUGCUCCUCUGACGUUAGCGGCGGACGGGUGAGUAACACGUGGAUAACCUACCUAUAAGACUGGGAUAACUUCGGGAAACCGGAGCUAAUACCGGAUAACAUGUUGAACCGCAUGGUUCAACAGUGAAAGACGGUCUUGCUGUCACUUAUAGAUGGAUCCGCGCCGCAUUAGCUAGUUGGUAAGGUAACGGCUUACCAAGGCAACGAUGCGUAGCCGACCUGAGAGGGUGAGCGGCCACACUGGAACUGAGACACGGGCCAGACUCCGACGGGAGGCAGCAGUAGGGAAUCUUCCGCAAUGGGCGAAAUCCUGACGGAGCAACGCCGCGUGAGUGAAGAAGGUCUUCGGAUCGUAAAACUCUGUUAUUAGGGAAGAACAAAUGUGUAAGUAACUAUGCACGUCUUGACGGUACCUAAUCAGAAAGCCACGGCUAACUACGUG
rnacentral:rRNA from 1 species